GAUGAACGCUGGCGGCGUGCCUAAUACAUGCAAGUCGAGCGAACAGACGAGAGUGCUUGCACUCUCUGACGUUAGCGGCGGACGGGUGAGUAACACGUGGGUAACCUACCUAUAAGACUGGGAUAACUUCGGGAAACCGGAGCUAAUACCGGAUAAUAUUUAGCUUCGCAUGAAGCAAUAGUGAAAGACGGUUCUGCUGUCACUUAUAGAUGGACCCGCGGUGUAUUAGCUAGUUGGUGAGGUAACGGCUCACCAAGGCAACGAUACAUAGCCGACCUGAGAGGGUGAUCGGCCACACUGGGACUGAGACACGGCCCAGACUCCUACGGGAGGCAGCAGUAGGGAAUCUUCCGCAAUGGACGAAAGUCUGACGGAGUAAUGCCGCGUGAGUGAAGAAGGUUUUCGGAUCGUAAAACUCUGUUGUAAGGGAAGAACAAGUACGUUAGUAACUGAACGUACCUUGACGGUACCUUACCAGAAAGCCACGGCUAACUACGUG
rnacentral:rRNA from 1 species